UGGACUGUCCACAGCAGCUGACUAUGAUUUGCCUCAUGCUCUAGCAGAGGCAAGGUUUUACCUGCUGUAGAUAGUUUCUACAAUUGUGUAAUGUUUGGAAUUCUAGGAAGUUUUCAGAGGGUAUAGAAAUGCUAGAGCUCCUUUAGGCGGGGAGGGUGGCUGUUGUUCAUUUAAUGAGGUUGGUUGAAGUUUUUUAGUAGCAUGGUCAAGAAGAAACAAUUUAGAUGCAGAGAUUUUGCUAAUUUCUCUCUCUCCUCUCUCCGUGUUUCUCUCCUUUCUAGUGUUAGGGGUUGAAACAGGGAUUAAUGGGUAGGAAAAAGAAGAACCCCUGAAGAAGGAAAGACAGGCUACGCUGAUCAGCAUCUGGAUUAGAUGUGCCUUUAACUUACAUCUUCAGGCCUGGUUGGAUUUGUCAGGAUAUAAGGACAUUGAAAAUCAAUGAUUCCAGAACAAUCACGAGGACUUCUAGCACACCCAGACUGAUCUGCAGAAAAAUUGAAUCCAUUUCCUGGAAAAGAAGUCCCAUUCAAUGCAGCAAGAUCAGAGAAUAUGGAGUGGAGAGAUGGCUCAGUCAUGAAGAGCACGUAUUGUUAUGGAAGAGGACCUGAUUUCAAUUCCCAGCACCCACCUUGGUGGCUCACAACUGGCUGUAACUCCAGUUCCACAGAAUCUACCACCCUUGAUUUACCUUCUCACGGACCAAUGAGUGCACGUGUGGACAUGUGAGUGCAUACACACUUACACAUGCACCAAGCACACACACGCCCUUAAAAUAAAUCUUUAAAAGAUUAAAAAAAUGUGCUUUUAAAAUGCACAAAAAAGAAAUAAAGCUUGUUGAAUGUG
rnacentral:sRNA from 1 species